rnacentral:rRNA from 1 species
GUCCACGCCGUAAACGAUGAGUGCUAGAUGUCGCGGGUAUUGACCCCUGCGGUGUCGUAGCUAACGCGUUAAGCACUCCGCCUGGGGAGUACGGCCGCAAGGCUAAAACUCAAAGGAAUUGACGGGGGCCCGCACAAGCGGUGGAGCAUGUGGUUUAAUUCGACGCAACGCGCAAGAACCUUACCCGGGCUAGAAAACUAGGAACCUCUCAGAGACGAGGGGUGCCCGCAAGGGACCUAGGUCCAGGUGCUGCAUGGCUGUCGU